rnacentral:lncRNA from 1 species
GUGGCAUAAUUUUAUCAAAUCAUCCAAUGAAAGACAUUUUAGCUUUAAUUAUAUGAAAAUAGGGCGCGUUAUGGCAUCCCUCAUAACACUGUAUUACAAACUUCGAAUUGUAAUAAACUAAUAUUAUAUCACGUUCGGCUUUAUUAACACUAGAUAAAAUUAUAACCCAUAUAAACUAAACCUGUGGGACAAUCCAGUUUAUAUGGGCUUGCUUACAAUUAAAAAAAAAAAAUGAAGAACUUGUAAAAAAUCUCCCAAUGUUGAUCUCUUCACUAAAUACACGGCAGCCAGCUUUGCUCCAUCACCACCACUCCAUUCUCUAUUUGCUGCGGGACACCCCAGCUCCACCGCCAUUGCGCUGCACGACGACACUACUCCACCGCUACCGUGCCUCUUCUUCAUCACAUGGAUCAGCAAAUUGUAGUUUUAAUACUCAAUUUAUUUUUUAUUUAUGGAUUUUGUGGUUUGAUUGAAUUGGUUGGUGGGUGAGGUUUUUUAUCAAUAAUUCUCAACUGAAACAAAAAUAUCACCUCAAUUACAUGUUUAUUUAACAAAAUUUUAUUGUAUGUAUCAAUUUUUUCAAACCAAUUAAUCAUAAUUUAAAAGAAGAAAAAAGAAAAGGUGACUUAAUUUUAUCAGAUAGGUCCAAUUAUAGACAUUAUA